rnacentral:rRNA from 2 species
GGCGGACGGGUGAGUAACACGUGGGUAACCUGCCCUUAAGUGGGGGAUAACAUUUGGAAACAGAUGCUAAUACCGCAUAGAUCCAAGAACCGCAUGGUUCUUGGCUGAAAGAUGGCGUAAGCUAUCGCUUUUGGAUGGACCCGCGGCGUAUUAGCUAGUUGGUGAGGUAAUGGCUCACCAAGGCGAUGAUACGUAGCCGAACUGAGAGGUUGAUCGGCCACAUUGGGACUGAGACACGGCCCAAACUCCUACGGGAGGCAGCAGUAGGGAAUCUUCCACAAUGGACGCAAGUCUGAUGGAGCAACGCCGCGUGAGUGAAGAAGGCUUUCGGGUCGUAAAACUCUGUUGUUGGAGAAGAAUGGUCGGCAGAGUAACUGUUGUCGGCGUGACGGUAUCCAACCAGAAAGCCACGGCUAACUACGUGCCAGCAGCCGCGGUAAUACGUAGGUGGCAAGCGUUAUCCGGA